rnacentral:rRNA from 1 species
UACAGGGGGGGCAAGCGUUGUUCGGAAUUACUGGGCGUAAAGGGUCUGUAGGUGGCCAACUAAGUCAGACGUGAAAUCCCUCAGCUUAACUGGGGAACUGCGUCUGAUACUGGUUGGCUUGAGUGCAGGAGAGGAACGCGGAAUUCCAGGUGUAGCGGUGAAAUGCGUAGAUAUCUGGAGGAACACCGGUGGCGAAGGCGGCGUUCUGGACUGCAACUGACACUGAGGAACGAAAGCCAGGGUAGCAAACGGG